CCACACCUGAACCGGCAAAGUCGAUUACACCAGACCCAAAUAAAACAUCACCGUCGGUUCGUGUUGGGCUGGCCCAACCAUCAGCGGACCAAACCCAAUGCGAAACGAUGGGAUAAACAAAACCGGUUAAGAAAGAAGAAUAUAUGAGAUAGGCGACAAAUUGAGUUCUCUCUGCAAUGGAGCCGCUGGUGAUACCGGCAGCAGCGAUGGCGAAGGCCCACUGGUAGAGGAAGAAGCUGUAGUCACCGGAAGGUGAAGGAUAAUCCCUUAGACCGAAAAAGUGGCGGCCAAUGAAGCCGUUGGAGGGUGCUCCAAAGGCGAAAGCAAAGCCGAAGAGAUAGUAGGAGAGGCCACCGGCUGCAGCGUCAAGGACAUUGGUGAGCAUGAUGUUCAUAGUGUUUUUGGCUCGAACGGAGCCAGCGCAGAGCAUAGCGAAACCAAGCUGCAUGGCAAAGACUAAAUAAGCUGAGAAGAGAAGGUAGGUGUUGUCUAUUGCAUAAGUGGUGUCGCUGAGUUUAUUUGAGAUGGUGUUGAAUUGGGUGCAUAGGUAGUCAGCUACAGCGGUAGCGUUUGCAGCGGUGGUGAGGAGUGGAGCGAAGUCUGUGGCUGAGCAAGAUAGAGAAGCCAUAUCUGUUGUACAGUGAGUGUAGAAAUGGACACAAGUGAUGAGUAUAAUGUAAUAUUUAAAGUGAAUAUUGAACAGAUAUGGAGUAGAAGCUAGCUAUUCUAUACCAUCCAUUUUAUAAUAAUAGAGUAGGAUCACACUGAUGGUUUAAAGUUUUUAUCUCUUUAUAGCCUUAACUAUAUUUUGUGGUUAUUUUUGUUUUGUUUUUUUGUGC
rnacentral:lncRNA from 1 species